rnacentral:lncRNA from 1 species
CCAUUGUUGUCAGAGGAAAUGCUUGAUAUUAUUCCAAUUUUUUGGAAUGUUUUAAGACUAGUUUUAUAACCUAACAUAUGGUCUAUCCUUGAGAAUAAUUCAUGUGCUGAGGAAAAGAAUGUGUAUUCUGCGCCUUUGUACCUUUGUUAAGAAUUAGUUGUCUAUAUAUAGAUGUGUGUCUAUUAUUUGUUAAUGGCAAUGAGCUCCGUGUGUAAUAGCUGACACAUUAGCACAGAAAUGCUUCUUUUUUGUCACAAAUGUAUUGUUGAAGCCCAAUUGUUAGCUUUUCUGGUGAUAAGGAACUGUCCAGGAGGACGUAUGGAUGAAUACAGGGAAAUUUGACAAUACAACAGAAGGAAGUACCUCAUAUAACAUUAGGGAUUAAAAUUGAACAUGAGAUUUGGGUGGGAACACAGAAUAUUUUGUAUCAAGAAAUAACUAUAUUCCAUAUUAGCUUAUAACAGAUUCUGUGUAGAUACAGAAUCAAAGUGUCUGGGUUUUGUUUUUAUGUAUAAAUGUUUUGGCAGCCCUUCAAUGUGGGCUUUUCAUUUUCUACACCAAAGCUAAGGAGACAGUGAAUUCUUUACUGUAUAAAAUUAUGCUUUUGGAAACUAUACUUUUCAGCUUCUCCUUCAUCCAUUAGUUAGCACUCCCUGAUGGCUUGGGGUGUGGUGAUUAAUAUAUUAUUGAAUUAGGCAUCAAUCCAGGAAGCAAUGGAAUGUGUGAACUGAAUGAGACUGUA